GGUAAAAUGGCUGAAUUAAGGUAAUAAAUUGUAAAUUUAUUUAUGAACAUUUGUUCUUUUAUC
rnacentral:tRNA from 1 species